CCUAGGUGGCUGCAGUGGGGAAUAUUGGACAAUGGGCGAAAGCCUGAUCCAGCCAUGCCGCGUGUGUGAAGAAGGCCUUCGGGUUGUAAAGCACUUUCAGUGGGGAAGAAAGCCUUGGGGCUAAUACCCUCGAGGAAGGACAUCACCCACAGAAGAAGCACCGGCUAACUCCGUGCCAGCAGCCGCGGUAAUACGGAGGGUGCGAGCGUUAAUCGGAAUUACUGGGCGUAAAGCGCGCGUAGGCGGUCUGAUAAGCCGGUUGUGAAAGCCCCGGGCUCAACCUGGGAACGGCAUCCGGAACUGUCAGGCUAGAGUGCAGGAGAGGAAGGUAGAAUUCCCGGUGUAGCGGUGAAAUGCGUAGAGAUCGGGAGGAAUACCAGUGGCGAAGGCGGCCUUCUGGACUGACACUGACGCUGAGGUGCGAAAGCGUGGGUAGCAAACAGGAUUAGAUACCCCGGUAGUC
rnacentral:rRNA from 1 species